AGCGGCUCUCCUGAUCGGAUGUAAAAGUGAUUAAUAGAGCUCGGUAGACAAGUGUUCAUUUAAGUGUAAUAAAAAAGUGAAAAGUAUAGAAAAAAGAUACAAAUUUAUUUCAACAUAUUGUACCCUGAGAAAGAAGCAAUUUGAUAUAUGGGACCCAUUUAAGGAAAAGGUUUUUUGCUUUUACGAAGAGCAAAUGCAAAACAAAAAGCAACUUAAACUAUUAAAGACAGUUCAGAAAACUGUAUCACUUGAUUACAAGGACUACAUUUACAUUGUAUUGCUCACAUCUGUCAUCUUAAAUAAUUCGUGGACCGUCAUUAAAGGAACCAACAAGCGAAAGAAAUUAUCACUACUAUGACUCGCAGGAAAGUUUUGUACGCACAUGCAGGCGUACGAAUGUGGCAAAACAAAAAAAUGUGUGAUUAUAAAAAAUAUGUAUAAU